UUGUAAUUUGCAGAGGAUGCUUCGGGCGCGGUGCCUUCCAAGUCCCCUGGAACGGGGCGCCACAGAGGGUGAGAGCCCCGUACGGUUGAACGCCAAGCCUGUGUGAAGCUCCUUCAACGAGUCGAGUAGUUUGGGAAUGCUGCUCUAAAUGGGAGGUAGACCCCUUCUAAAGCUAAAUACCGGCUGGAGACCGAUAGCGCACAAGUAGAGUGAUCGAAAGAUGAAAAGAACUUUGAAAAGAGGGUUAAACAGCACGUGAAAUUGUUGAAAGGGAAGCGCUUGUGACCAGACUUGCGCCGGGGCGAUCCUCUGGCGUUCUCGCCAGGGCACUCGCCCCGGGGCAGGCCAGCGUCGGUUUGGGCGGGGGGACAAGGACGUUGGGCACGUAGCUCCCCCGGGAGUGUUAUAGCCCGUCGUGCGAUGCCCCCUCCCGGACCGAGGUACGCGCUCUGCAAGGACGCUGGCGUAAUGGUCACCAGCGGCCCGUCUUGAAACACGGACCAAGGAGUCGAGGUUCUGCGCGAGUGUUUGGGUGCCAAACCCGCACGCGCAAUGAAAGUGAACGUAGGUGGGAGCCUCGGCGCACCACCGACCGAUCCUGAUGUUCUCGGAUGGAUUUGAGUAAGAGCGUUGGGCCUCGGACCCGAAAGAUGGUGAACUAUGCUUGGAUAGGGUGAAGCCAGAGGAAACUCUGGUGGAGGCUCGCAGCGGUUCUGACGUGCAAAUCGAUCGUCAAAUCUGAGCAUGGGGGCGAAAGACUAAUCGAACCAUCUAGUAGCUGGUUACCGCCGAAGUUUCCCUCAGGAUAGCAGUGUUGUCUUCAGUUUUAUGAGGUAAAGCGAAUGAUUAGGGACCUGGGGGCGCUAUUUAGCCUUCAUCCAUUCUCAAACUUUAAAUAUGUAAGAAGCCCUUGUUGCUUAAUUGAACGUGGGCAUUCGAAUGCACCAACACUAGUGGGCCAUUUUUGGUAAGCAGAACUGGCGAUGUGGGAUGAACCAUACGCGAGGUUAAGGUGCCGGAGUGGACGCUCAUCAGACACCACAAAAGGCGUUAGCACAUCUUGACAGCAGGACGGUGGCCAUGGAAGUCGGAAUCCGCUAAGGACUGUGUAACAACUCACCUGCCGAAUGUGCUAGCCCUGAAAAUGGAUGGCGCUCAAGCGUCCCACCCAUACCUCGCCCUCGGGGUGGAAACGAAG
rnacentral:rRNA from 1 species